AGGGUAUGUGCUGGUUAUAAACUCUAUAUAAUUAUAAAACGCUUUUUAAGACUAAAACUAUCAACAAAAUAAUUCCUACAAUGCAGAGUACAAAAAGACCACUAGGUGCCAGUACAGUUCACAGUAACUGAUACACCAUAUGGACAAAAGAAUUGGGACACACCUUCUAAAUAUUGAAUUCAUUGACAAAGCAAUGAGUUUGGUGUGGAAGAACAGAACCCUGGCCUCAACCCCAUUGAACACCUUUGGGAUGAACUGGAACAGAGAUUGUGAGCCAGGCUUUCUCGUCCAACAUCAGUGCCUGACCUCACAAAUACUCUUCUGGAUGAAUGGGCGACAUUCCCACAUAAUCACUUUAAAAAAUGUGGAAACUGUUAUAGCUGCAAAAGUUGUACCAACUACAUAAUAAUUCCUAUGUAUUUAGAAUGCAAUGUUAUAAACGUCACUGUUGGUGUAUUGGUCAGGUGUCCCAACUUGUUUGUCGAUAUAGUGCAUUUGUGAAAUAGUAAUUGCGUGAAUUAGCACUAUUAAAAUCUCAAUUUAUAUAUACAUUUUAUAUCUCCAUGAUUUUCUUUAAUGCUGCUACUACACUUCAUAUUAGUAAUAUACAAUGAAAAGGAAAAAGAACUCAAGUUCAUACUUCGACAUAUCUGUAUUACUGUUGUUGAUCCAAAAGAUAAUGAAAACCCAAUUAGUACAGAGGUCUCAGAGUUAAUUUACUAAGGGGUCACGUGAACUGCACUUAAUGAUAGAAAAAAAGAUUCUCUAUG